UGGGGAAUCUUGCGCAAUGGGCGAAAGCCUGACGCAGCGACGCCGCGUGGGGGAUGAAGCUUCUCGGAGUGUAAACCCCUUUCGACCCGGACGAAACGCCCGCAAGGGCUUGACGGUACGGGUAUAAGAAGCCCCGGCUAACUACGUGCCAGCAGCCGCGGUAAGACGUAGGGGGCCAGCGUUGCUCGGAAUUACUGGGCGUAAAGGGUUCGUAGGCGGUGCGGUAAGUCGGAAGUGAAAUCUCUGGGCUUAACUCAGAGGCUGCUUUCGAAACUGCCGUGCUAGAGUGCGGGAGAGGCGAGUGGAAUUACAGGUGUAGCGGUGAAAUGCGUAGAUAUCUGUAGGAACACCCGUGGCGAAGGCGGCUCGCUGGACCGCAACUGACGCUGAGGAACGAAAGCUAGGGGAGCAAACAGGAUUAGAUACCCUGGUAGUCCUAGCCCUAAACCAUCAGGACUUGGGGUGGCCCGCGUUGGCGGGUCGUCCCGGAGCUAACGCGUUAAGU
rnacentral:rRNA from 1 species